GAUGAACGCUGGCGGCGUGCCUAAUACAUGCAAGUCGAGCGAACGGACGAGAAGCUUGCUUUUCUGAUGUUAGCGGCGGAAGGGUGAGUAACACGUGGAUAACCUACCUAUAAGACUGGGAUAACGUCGGGAAACCGGAGCUAAUACCGGAUAAUAUUUUGAACCGCAUGGUUCAAAAGUGAAAGACGGUCUUGCUGUCACUUAUAGAUGGAUCCGCGCUGCAUUAGCUAGUUGGUAAGGUAACGGCUUACCAAGGCAACGAUGCAUAGCCGACCUGAGAGGGUGAUCGGCCACACUGGAACUGAGACACGGUCCAGACUCCUACGGGAGGCAGCAGUAGGGAAUCUUCCGCAAUGGGCGAAAGCCUGACGGAGCAACGCCGCGUGAGUGAUGAAGGUCUUCGGAUCGUAAAACUCUGUUAUUAGGGAAGAACAUAUGUGUAAGUAACUGUGCACAUCUUGACGGUACCUAAUCAGAAAGCCACGGCUAACUACGUG
rnacentral:rRNA from 1 species